AUUCAACAUCGAAAAAUAGCCGCGCAAACCCAUGCCUGCGAUUGGCCCACCCCUGUAUCUCACCUGUCGCCACCUGUGAGCCGCGCCCUAAACUCCCCAGCUCAUCGGCGGGCGGUCCGGAGUCAACCCAGCACGCACCCGCAGCCAUUACGAUUGCGCCGUUGCAUUUCUGCCCGGUCUGUCACUCCGAAGUACACAUUCCAAGUCUCUGGUCAGGCCCCUGAAAGUGUAUACAAAUUAUGUGUUCACUGGGAGGGGUGAGGCAAAGAGGGGAAACGGCUAAAAUAGUUCGUGUGCUCCAGCUUAGAGGUCGCGUCAGUUCCAAAGAAAUCUGUAAAGUUAAAGGAAUCUGUCACACAUUUUGCUAAAAGUAAAGAAAGUUCACUUAAAAAUAAUCGACGUGCGCACACUUCUCUUUUUAAUUCUUUGAUUUAUCAACAGCCGAUUAUUUUGCUGUCGUUGCGGUUUUUGGCGACAUUUUGUUUUAAUGUGUUUUAAAGACUUCAGAAAACGAUUUAACGUGAUUUUUUGAAUGUUUUUGUGAUCAAACAUCUCUACUUUUAUAUGGAUCUUUUAUUUGAAUCUAGUGUAUAGUGUGAAUGACAGUGUUUUAAUGAAGGAUGAAUCAACUUAAGGCAAAUUAAGGUAAACGUUAUUGAAAGGUGUCUAUACAACAAUUAAUUGCGAUUUCUAGAUAUUAAUAUAAUCAUAUUACACUAAGAAGGAUCACACAAACUUCUCUAAUAAGGGAAUUUCUUGAUGUUUAGGAGAUGAAGACCGUCCUUGGAGAUGAUAACGGUUCUUGGGAUGUAAUUGAAAAUCCCAUGAAGGCGAGUUAAAUAUAAUGUGCAGUAAUUAAUAGGUAUAUCAUAAUAAUAAAUAAAUUUAUUGUAGUUGCGAAGCUAGUAUUUUGUGAAAGCAGGGAGUUUAGGACUUGCUAUGGUUCAAGGUUUUCAAAUUCGCCAUAUCCCUCUAUGUCUUAAUCUUUUAUGUUGUUUUACACAAUGUUAUAACGCCUAUGCCUGUUAAAAAAAUAAGGUUUGUCCUUUUUGUGAUUGCUUAAUUUAGAAACUAAGCGAAAAAAACGUAUUCUACAAGUAUCAUACAAGUUAAUCAAUAUUAAAGCCUACUAUUAUUAUAAAUUUAAAUGAUUACAUGGUAGUUUUAAUCAGUUAACUUCCAGUUAUAGUUAUGUAUAUCAGAUAUGUGGCUUUUUAUUUAAAAUAAUUUUAGCACACUUGUAAUUCUUUUGUGUUUGAGUAAUUUACUAAUAACUACGAUGCAAUCGAGAUUACUUUUAAAAAAUUUCAAAACUUAUCAAAAACUUUGACAUCAAACUGUUAAAGUACGUGUUAGGGCCGCUUUUACAAACGUCCGUAAACCUUAUAACCGCAAAUAAAUUUCGAAAAAUAGUUGUUUAAAUUUAGCCUUAAUGGACUUAAAAAUUGGACUAUUGUCAAAGGUUACAAGCAAAAUUUUGAUAUUUUUUUGCUUUUCUGAACAGUCUGUAGACAAGUAAUCAAACCAACAAAACUGAUGUAUUUAUACAGACUGAUCCCGAAAUACUGUGUCUGUUAGCAAUCUGAAUUUAAAUUUUAAAGGAUACCAAUAGUGUACACUUUCAGGUAGCAAUUCAAUAAUUUAAUCUGAUGCCAACAUACUCAGUUUCUCUGGAUCAUUGUGUAUAUUUAGACAAUGUAUUUACAUAUAUUACUACAUCUGAAUAUGUUUAUGAAGAACAAUUCGAGUUAAAUUAAUUUUGCCUAUACAUUCCAGCACGUUAUUAUUUUUUUAAUAAAUUUUUAUUGGAAAGACUUUGUUUCAUUUUAUUAAGCGAUGCUAAAUGUUUUUAUGCUAUUGCAACUGUUACAGAUGCUUUUUUAUUAAAAUGUCUCGUAACAGUGCAUGAGUACAGAAACAUUUAACAUUUAUAAUUCUUUAAAUUUGGAAAAUAAAUAAAAUGUCCUGUUUGAAUUUCCCGCUAUUAUCGAAUUAGUUUGUUCUCUCAGGGUUAGGUGGCGCUUUCGCGAAAAAACGAGGGGUAGACAGAGAGAUUCGCUUCUUCCUCUCUCUUAUUCUAUGUCUCUGGUUGACACCUUGUAGCAGCGUGAGCGUGUUGUGCAUCGAUUAACAGGCAGUUUGUUUAUUAUGGAGGAUAAUCCGGCCAAUUCUUUGAAAGCUACCCUUUCACCGGAUUUUGAAGUUGUCUUGAAAUCCGGUAUUUUUGUUGAUAAAAGUGCGUUGAUGUUAGCAGUUUUUGAAACGUACGAUCAACCUAUGGUAUUGUGUACCGCACCGCGCCGAUUUGGCAAAUCUGUAAACUUAUCCAUGAUGCAACGAUUCUUGGAGCUGGAAGUAGAUGAAAAUGGAAAGGAGAAAGCAACGGUUUUGGAAGACAAAGACAAUUACAAACUGUUCAGUUCAGCAAAGUUCAACUUAAAAGUCAUGGAGAAUAAGAAGUUUGUAAAUACUCAUUUCGGACAAUUUCCGAUAAUCAACAUAAAUUUUCUCUGUGAUGAUGACGUGAAAAGCAAAUCUGAUGCAGUGAAUGUGUGUAGAAGCGCUAUAUCGGAAGCUUUUAAGCAACACAGAUACCUUUACGAAUCCAAAUUGUCACCGUUGAAAGACGAUGAAAAAGAGGUUUGCGAACAAUGGUGUGGCGAAUUUACUUGCACAGGAAUUCCAGAUGCCAAAGUAGUCAAGGGGUUGGGAUGUUUGGCAGCUUAUCUGAAUAAGUUUCAUAAAAGAAUGGUUUUUCUGCUCGUUGACGAGUACGACUCGAUCAUUUCAAAUGCGUUGUAUAAUGUGAAGAAUGCUGAUCCAGAGGCUGAGCUCAAAGAGCUAGAGGAAGCUGCCUCAUUCCCAAUUAAAGUAAUUGGACAUGCUCUAAAAAAAUUUUCUGCGAUCAUUAAAGGAGCGUUUAUUACCGGAAUUUUGGAUGUGGGUGGUGUAGCGAUUUCCACCCUAUUGGGUAAUAUAUUGCGACGGCAAUUCGGAAUCCAGAAUCUGUGCCAAGAUUUCUAUGGAUUCACUGAAGAUGAAGUUUGUACUCUAUUUCAUCGGUUUGCAGUAACGGGGGAAUUGGAAAAAAAAGCGAAGGCUAAAUAUAAUGGGUAUUUAAAUGGCUCGAAACAAUGCCUAUAUAAUCCUCAAUCGAUUGUGCAGUUUUUGGGAAAUUUAUCUCUGGGAGAAGGUGCUUUAAAAAAUUAUUGGCAAGAAUCUGGUUACAUUCACAAUAUGUCUAAACUAUUUGAAGAGGGCAGCGUGAAAACGUUGUUGUAUGAACUUCUACAAGGUGUUAAAGAAGAUUUUCAAUUCACGUUAGCACCGUUACAAUUAAGCGAUCUGAAAUCUUUGCAUAACAUAUUAGUUAAUCAAAAUUUGACUUGUGACAUAGAAAUAGUUGUUCGAUUUCUUGUAUCUCUAGGAUACUUAACAUAUUCAUUUGAUGAUCACAAACUCCAAAUACCUAACGCUGAGCUAAUUGAUGAAUUUACGAAGCUGCUACGAGCUUAUUUUUUUGAAAAAUUUGGUAUUAACAGUAAAUUGGCUAACGCUUGUUCAGCAUCAUUUUCUAAGCUAACCAUUCUCUGUGAUGAAGGUGAUUCAUUAGCAAAGUUCAAAAAAGAAUUAGCAAAUUUUCAAAAUAGUAUAACCUGUCUACUUCAACGUUCAACACUUAUCGAUCCAUUGAAUGAGGCAACUUUACAGAGUAUAAUUACAUUGACAUGUAGUAAAGCAGGAUUUCUCUUCGGAAACGAAAUAACAAUUCCAUUUCAUAACACCAAAGUUGAUAUAGUACUGUUUAAUGAUAAAUCUGGGAUAAUAAUGGAAUUAAAAUGUGGUCCAAAUACUGUACAAGACGCAUUUAAACAAAUCUUUCAAAAUCGGUACUACAAUGUUUUCACAAAUAAGAAGUAUUUUGAUGAACGUAAGAAAUCUCCUUCUCUUUCUUUUGUUAUGGCAAUGCAUGUGGAUUCUGACAAGAAAGGAUCUGUGAUGUGCCUGCCACGCGAGGAUGUUAUUCACGUUCUGGAUGAUCUGCAACUUGACGCUAGAGAGUCAUCGCUAGAAGGUCGCAUUGAGAUAGCUGUUAAUUCUAUGGGUGAACGUUUCAUUAACAUUUGUUGCGCAAAAGCAAUUCUUGGCUCUUAACAUACCAGAGAAACCGGUUCAGUUUUUGUUUGAAUUUAAAGUAGCUAUUUUUAAGUUCAACGCGGCAUGUUAAUUUCAG